CCGUUCCUAACUAUGAGAAGACUUCUGGGAUUUUUUUCGGUCUAGCCAGCCUCACCUUUGGCCCUCGGAGGCUGGUUUACAGCGACCUGGAGGUCUAAGAUGAGGGGCAAUGAAGCGGCAGUGUGACGGGAUCCAUCCUGGGAUCAUCCUGGAAACGUUCCAUUUUGCCUUUUUAGCAAGGUAAAGAGCAACAAUGUAGAUCCUGGAGGAACUGGAGUAAUUGUUUGGCCAAUAAAAUGUGCUCUUGCUCUCUGUCUUCUAUUCACUUUCUUCCUUCCUUCCUUCACUCCUUCCCUACUCUUCCUGAUCUGGAAGGAUGACCUCUCCCAAGCAACUAUUUGGGUAGUGAACCACACCUACCUAGACCCCACGCCCAGGUACUGAUGGUCAAGGGAGACUCGGUGAGCCCCUUCUUAACCUUAUUCCUUCUAGGGAGAAAGGUUAUGUGAGCUGGAAUGGCACACUUGGUUCCCAUACCACCUUCUCUCCCAGCCAUGAAAAGGAGGGGGCUGGCAGAAGCGAGAGGUGCUAAGAACCUCCCCAGGGGUAGCUCAGGCCCUGGGCCAGGACUGUUGUGGGAGAACAAUACCACUGGGUCAAGUAUGGUCAGGAAAUGAUGCAAAACUCUUCCUCUGUCCUGCUUGAGAACCUGGAUAAAAGGAAAUUGGGAGGCUGGCCCCACCUAAACAGUGACUACCCAGACUCAAAGGCCUUCACAUUUCUUUGUUGUCUUUGGUGAAGCAGAAAGUUAAAACUGCAGUAAAAGUAGUGAGUCAGGUAAAUGCCCUUUGGAUCUAAGGUUUGAAAAAACAAACAAACAAAUACUGUUCUUACAACAAUUCUAUGAGAGAGAGAUUACAAAUACAGGACCCAUGUUACCGAUGAGAAGAGGGGCUUUGAUAUAUAUAUCUGGACGCUGUAGUCAGUAAAUAUCUGAAGAUUCAGGUCUGUAUCUAACUCUAGCCUGCAGUUAAACCUGAGGAGAUUCUCCUGGGGUUUGCCGGACCAUUCUCUGAGUCAGCAGGUAACAGGUAUUAAAAAUGGGAUUAAUGCCUUCUUUUCCUCCCCACCAGCCUCUUCCCCAGUCAGUCAACAAGCUGCUAGGCACUGUACUAUAUUAGCCAUUACGAAGGUAAAAUAUGAAAUGAUCUCUGGCCUCAAGGAACUUAUAUUCUGUCAGGGGAAAUAAUAAAACACGUAUAUAUGUUUUAAAAUGACUACAGCAAAAUAUAAUCAGUAAAUAUUGGAUAAUAUGAUGGAGGGGAUGGGAAUGGAAAGUACUAGCUGUUUAGGGAAUUUGGAAAGGCCUCCGUUAAGAGGAGGUGCUUGAGCUGACCUUUAAAAGAAUCAAGAGACUCUUUAGAGACAAAGUUGAUGAGGGAAUGAGAAACAGCCUAGCAAGAACCUGGAGACAGAAAACAAAAUGUAUAUGAGGAGCUACAAUAAGUCAAUUUGGCUAGACAGUAAAGUACUUAAUGGGGAGUAACCUGCAAUAAACCUUAGAAAAGGUAGAUUGAAGCUAGCUAGUAGAAGACUUUAAAUGCCAGAGGAGUUUGUUCAUGUCCUGGAAGAAAAGGGUACCACUGGAACUUUUUGAGCAAAGGAAUGACAUGAUUAAACCUAUGCCUUAGGAAUAUUCCUUGAGCCAGUAUGUGGAGAAUGAUUUAGAAAAGGAAAAGACUUGAGCUGAGAAGACCACCGAGGAGGGUACUGUAGUGGUCUUGAGGGUCUCACCUAAGGGAAUAGCAAUGCGAGUGAAGAGAAGGAAACAGAUUCAAGAGACAGACGGUCAUACCUUGUUUAAAGUGACCCAAAGGCAUUUUCUCCAGAAAGACCCCUGCUAAAUUGAAGUGCUAAACAGCUGGGUCUACUACUAACCAUUAUCAUUAAUAAUAACACCAACAGUAAUAACAAUGAAUAGCAUUUAUGUAGCUCUUUAAGGUUUGCAAAGCAUUUUUACAGAUAAUUAUCUUAUCCUCAUAACAACCCUGAGAGCUAAAUGCUGGCAUUAUCCCUAGUAAAAUAAAGCACACAGUGACAUAAAGCCAGUAAGUAUCUGAGGCUCUGUUUGAACCCUGGUCAUCCUGAGCUCAGAGUCCAGCACCCUUUCCACUGCCUAGCUUCAUAUAGCCAGUUAUCUUUAGAUGGGAGUAGAAGGAAGGCAACAGGAAUUAACUAACUCUGAAGCUUGUCCUCCUAGAACAGGCCUCACUUGGUAAAAAGUCCUGGCUCCCAAGUAAACUGAUGAGUAACCUGAGAGCAAUUGGGUACAGAGAAAACUGAGAGAUGAUGGGAGAGCAUGGUGCUAAAAGAGAAAAUUAUCGACCUCCCAAUUAUGUCUUGGACUGGCAUUGCAGAGCUGAGGAGGAGGGAGUCUAACUUGUCCCAGUUUUUCAGAAUCAUAGAAAGACCUGGAUUAUUCUAGGACUGAUCUGAGGUUUGGGGCUAAUAAAGUCCAGGAUCCCAGAGGACUGCCCCAGGCUUAUUCAGAAUUAAACUUAAACUCCUAAAUAGACCCUGUCAUUAGCAUGGUUCCUUUUAGUUGUUCCUAUAGAGCAGAGCUUCUUAAACUUUUUCCACUCGUGACCCCGGUUCGAGAGAUUUUUAUGUGACACUCCUCCCCCCCCUCCCCCUCUCCCCCUCGGUGUAUUGGUAUAUAAAAUAGGUAUUCACAUCAAACAUUUAACAGGUAAUAAACCAUAAUUUCUCGAUCCCCACAUCCAGUAAUGAGAUUCCAUGUGGAGUUAUGACCUACUCCUUAAGAAGCUGGACUGAGAAUUUUGAAAAGAACAGAAGAAUUAGUCUGGUACAAAGGUCAUAGUUGGCUCCAGAAUUAGAAAGAAGACCUGAGUUAAAGUUCUUCCUCUGACAUACAUUGGCUGUGUGACUUUGAGCUCUUAAGUGUUCCAAUGAAAUCAUAGGUCUGACCAUGCUGUCCCUCUCCCUGAUACACCCCCUCCCCAAAUUAUCAUGGGACUAUCAUAAUUGAAGGGGAUCUCAGAGAUCUAGUUCAAUCCCCUCAUUUUUACAAAUAAGAAAAUUGAGGCUCAGAAAUGUGUUAUAAAUUCUUCAGUCACAGUUAGUUAGUGAGAGAGCUAGAACAAGUCACUAGUUUUCUAGAUUUCCUUUGGGGUCCUUUCCAUAACACUUAAGGGAAAGGGUACCCUGGUUCCUGAUCAGCCGUUAUCCUCACUCCCAGUCACUUAUCAAAAGCUUUGGUAAAGAUACAAUCCUCAUUCUAAAAAGUAUAUAAAACUUUGGAUAACAUCACCAACUGGAUUCAGAUCUGAUGGUUUCCCAUCCCAAUAGUUGCUUCUAUUUCCUUCUGGCUGAUUGUAUACAAGAAGGCUUCUUCCAGGCCAGUUGUACUCCACACAGUUCUUGGAGUAAUUCCUGGGGGCAGUCUAGCCAAGAUGCUUUGGAAAAUUUUCCUUUAUUUUUCUUAUAUAAAGGGUAUAAACCAGGCUUCUGGGGGCGGUGGGGAGGAGUUGGAUCUGAUUUGUGUCUGGUGACACAUCUCCCAUAGGGACUUGCUGGGAAUGAGAGGCCCUUCUCAUAUUCCCAUUUAUUAGGGUGGGUGGAUCUUCUUAAUGUGCAUUUACCUUCCUGAAUUUUCCAAGAUAUAUGUAGUAGGCACAUAAUAAAUGCUUGUGGAAUGAUUUGUA